rnacentral:rRNA from 1 species
UACGAAGGGGGCUAGCGUUGUUCGGAUUUACUGGGCGUAAAGCGCACGUAGGCGGAUCGUUAAGUCGGGGGUGAAAUCCUGGAGCUCAACUCCAGAACUGCCUUCGAUACUGGCGAUCUUGAGUCCGGAAGAGGUGAGUGGAACUCCUAGUGUAGAGGUGGAAUUCGUAGAUAUUAGGAAGAACACCAGUGGCGAAGGCGGCUCACUGGUCCGGUACUGACGCUGAGGUGCGGAAGCGUGGGGAGCAAACAGG